UGGGGAAUAUUGGACAAUGGGCGCAAGCCUGAUCCAGCAAUGCCGCGUGAGUGAUGAAGGCCUUAGGGUUGUAAAGCUCUUUCGCACGCGACGAUGAUGACGGUAGCGUGAGAAGAAGCCCCGGCUAACUUCGUGCCAGCAGCCGCGGUAAUACGAAGGGGGCUAGCGUCGUUCGGAAUUACUGGGCGUAAAGGGCGCGUAGGCGGCCUGUUUAGUCAGAAGUGAAAGCCCCGGGCUCAACCUGGGAAUAGCUUUUGAUACUGGCAGGCUUGAGUUCCGGAGAGGAUGGUGGAAUUCCCAGUGUAGAGGUGAAAUUCGUAGAUAUUGGGAAUAACACCGGUGGCGAAGGCGGCCAUCUGGACGGACACUGACGCUGAGGCGCGAAAGCGUGGGGAGCAAACA
rnacentral:rRNA from 1 species